AUUGAACGCUGGCGGCAGGCCUAACACAUGCAAGUCGAGCGGUAGAGAGGUGCUUGCAUCUCUUGAGAGCGGCGGACGGGUGAGUAAUGCCUAGGAAUCUGCCUAGUGGUGGGGGAUAACGUUCGGAAACGGACGCUAAUACCGCAUACGUCCUACGGGAGAAAGCGGGGGAUCUUCGGACCUCGCGCCAUUAGAUGAGCCUAGGUCGGAUUAGCUAGUUGGUGAGGUAAUGGCUCACCAAGGCGACGAUCCGUAACUGGUCUGAGAGGAUGAUCAGUCACACUGGAACUGAGACACGGUCCAGACUCCUACGGGAGGCAGCAGUGGGGAAUAUUGGACAAAUGGGCGAAAGCCUGAUCAGCCAUGCCGCGUGUGUGAAGAAGGUCUUCGGAUUGUAAAG
rnacentral:rRNA from 1 species